UGAGGAAUAUUGGUCAAUGGGCGAGAGCCUGAACCAGCCAAGUAGCGUGCAGGAUGACGGCCCUAUGGGUUGUAAACUGCUUUUAUGUGGGGAUAAAGUGCGUGACGUGUCAUGCAUUGCAGGUACCACAUGAAUAAGGACCGGCUAAUUCCGUGCCAGCAGCCGCGGUAAUACGGAAGGUCCGGGCGUUAUCCGGAUUUAAUGGGUUUAAAGGGAGCGUAGGCUGUCUAUUAAGCGUGUUGUGAAAUUUACCGGCUCAACCGGUGGCUUGCAGCGCGAACUGGUCGACUUGAGUAUGCAGGAAGUAGGCGGAAUUCAUGGUGUAGCGGUGAAAUGCUUAGAUAUCAUGACGAACUCCGAUUGCGCAGGCAGCUUACUGUAGCAUAACUGACGCUGAUGCUCGAAAGUGCGGGUAUCAAACAGG
rnacentral:rRNA from 1 species